AAAAAAAAAAGGCAAUUCCAAAAUGACUAGAGUAGAGUGAAUAGGCUAGACUAAAUACAUAUAUCACAUCAUAAUGCAAUAAGACCAGAGUGAAUAGGCUACACAAAUUCCACUUUACGUUUAUUGCACUCUGCUAUACAAAAACUUCUUACUUUCAAAUGAUCCCCACCGUGGACUUUAUUAAAAUGGAAUACUAUGUCAGUUAUAUAAAAAAACUCAUAUUAAUCUCCAAAGAAGGGGAGGAAAAAAAAAAGUAAGCUCCUAGUAAAUUUUAUUUUUUCAAAGAAAGAAAGGCAAAUUAAUAUGAUUGACACAAGGACAAAGAAAAUGGGAUCAAUGUAUCUAGAAGGUAAGGUAAUGAAAGGUAAGGUAUCAAAACCUCUCAACCCACAAAAUUGUUGAGUUGAAAAAUGAGGGUUUUGGAGGUUUUGAACCCCCCCAAAAACCUACCUUAAAAACCUUCCUCCCAAACAAAUCUAUUAUUUCACAAACUCAUAACUUACAUUCAAAAGCUUCCUCCCAAACAUAGUGUAAAAAAGAUGCCUAUAGCAAUUAAAAUAUUAAAACAAUCAACAACCUAAUAAACGUAAAGGAUGAACCAGUGCAC
rnacentral:misc_RNA from 1 species